rnacentral:rRNA from 1 species
AGCUCCAAGAGCGUAUAUUAAAGUUGUUGCAGUUAAAAAGCUCGUAGUUGGAUUUCUGGUAUAGUGCGCCUGGCCCGCUGCGAUUACGCAUGUGAGUGCCGGUGCGCGCUUGCCAUCCUUCUAGAAAACGUUUCUACCCUUCGCUGGGCCGGACUCGCGAUCUAGAUCUUUUACUUUGAAAAAAUUAGAGUGUUUAAAGCAGGCUUUUGCUAUGAAUACAUUAGCAUGGAAUAAUAAUCUAGGACUUCGGUUCUAUUUUGUUGGUUUCUAGUACUGAAGUAAUGAUUGAUAGGGAUAGUUGGGGGUGCUAGUAUUGGCCGGCCAGAGGUGAAAUUCUUGGAUUCGGUCAAGACUAACUUAUGCGAAAGCAUUCACCAAGGAUGUCUUCUUUAAUCAAGAA